GAUGAACGCUAGCGGCAGGCUUAAUACAUGCAAGUCGUGGGGCAGCAUGAGUAGCAAUACUUGAUGGCGACCGGCAAACGGGUGAGGAACACGUACACAACCUUCCUUCAAGCGGGGAAUAGCCCAGAGAAAUUUGGAUUAAUACCCCAUAAUAUAUUUGAUAAGGCAUCUUAUUAAUAUUAAAGCUUCGGCACUUGAUGAUGGGUGUGCGGCUGAUUAGAUAGUUGGCGGGGUAACGGCCCACCAAGUCUACGAUCAGUAGCUGAUGUGAGAGCAUGAUCAGCCACACGGGCACUGAGACACGGGCCCGACUCCUACGGGAGGCAGCAGUAAGGAAUAUUGGACAAUGGACGAAAGUCUGAUCCAGCCAUGCCGCGUGAAGGAUUAAGGUCCUCUGGAUUGUAAACUUCUUUUAUAUGGGACGAAAAAGGGCAUUCUUGUUCACUUGACGGUACCAUAUGAAUAAGCACCGGCUAACUCCGUG
rnacentral:rRNA from 1 species